GACGAACGCUGGCGGCGUGCUUAACACAUGCAAGUCGAACGGUGACGAGGAGCUUGCUCCUCUGAUCAGUGGCGAACGGGUGAGUAACACGUGAGCAACCUGCCCCAGACUCUGGGAUAACAGUUGGAAACAGCUGCUAAUACCGGAUACGAGACGGAGAGGCAUCUCUACCGUCUGGAAAGUUUUUCGGUCUGGAGUGGACUCGCGGCCUAUCAGCUAGUUGGUGAGGUAAUGGCUCACCAAGGCGACGACGGGUAGCCGGCCUGAGAGGGCGACCGGCCACACUGGGACUGAGACACGGCCCAGACUCCUACGGGAGGCAGCAGUGGGGAAUAUUGCACAAUGGGCGAAAGCCUGAUGCAGCGACGCCGCGUGAGGGAUGAUGGCC
rnacentral:rRNA from 1 species